UUAGCAAGUUUAUUUACGAAAGGAAAUGUCAACACAGGUCUGUGGGAUUUUUUUUCCUGUUUUUAUUCAAAUCAACUUAAAUUAAAUGGUUCAAUUCUGAGACUAAAUACAGCCUAGUAGAGUCUGUACACUAACAGUCAUUUAGCACUGACUAAGACUGGCUAGAAAAUAAGAAUUCAUAUUCAGGGAAGGAUUUGUGCCAUUUUGUGCCAUUCAACAACUUUUUGAGACAGAGAAGCAAAUUCACCACCUGAUUCAGUCCAGGAUAUGGAAAGUGGGUCUUUUGCAUCCAAGACUGCUGGAUAUUUGGGACUAUUUGAGAUCACAUAGAAUUUUAGACAUCUCACUUCAUAGUCUCAACUCCCAUGUCCCUCUUUGAAAGCACAUUGGAAUAAUGCUGUCUCUGCUUUGUUUUUUUCCUGUUUACUGUUGGGAACAAGCUGCUGUGAAGCCCCUUAACUCCGUCCUGUAAGAGAGAAGCUGGAGGUGUCCAGAAGAGGACUUGGGCAAGGGGUACUUGCUUCCUAAACCUUGGGUCUGGACUGAGCUGGGCACCGUUCACUUCCCAGGCGUGCACAGAGUAACAAGGUGCUUUCCUGCGAUUUACUAAUCCAGCUUGGGAACCAAACAAGAGUCCCAACAGAGCUCUUGGGUCCUGGGGAAGCCUGGUGAGAGAUGUCAUUCCAGACCCACAGAGAGAGAAGUCGCCCCUUGGAGAGGAAGAGGAGGAAGAGUUCUCACAGGCUUUUGAAUAAAACAUCAGGGAAUUUACUAAACACGCCCAGGGACUCCUCCAGAUGUCCUAGCGUUGGGCAGGGAAGCAGAGUCUUUGCCAGCUCUGGGCUCUUCCAAGGCAGACUGGCAGGAUUAAGUGCCAGGAGUCCAAAUGAAUUUGGUCUGCAUGUUUCAAGAAGCACUUACGUUUUCUGGCAUUGCUAGUGUGGAAACAAAGAAAUGACAAAGAUUGUGUGGAGGUAAGAGAUUGUUGGAUGAAAAAUGAUUUUGUCAACACACAAGCCUGGAAGGGACUGUCUGAUCCAUCUGCCUGCACAGAAGCAGAAUCAGGUGUAGUUGCACUAUCCUACAAUUUUUAUUCUUGAAGAUCCUCUCUGCAAGCUACCUAAGGAGUCAGUGUUCUCCUGCCCUUUAAACUAGAAAAACAACUAUUUCAUGUCCAACCAGCAAAAGUCCCCCUGUCUAAGAAAUAAUGGAAUGUAAUGUCACUGCUGUGGAGUAAAAUUAUUUGAAAUCUUUGAAAUUUAUGUGUUCAGUUGUUAAAAACUGUCUCUCUUAUCCUCAGAAUAGUAGGUGAGUGCUUGAUAAAUUUAAAUGUCAGUAAUAAAUAUUAAUAGGAAAUGGUAAGAACUGAUUUA
rnacentral:lncRNA from 1 species